UACAGAGGCCUCGAGCGUUAGGCGGAAUCACUGGGCUUAAAGCGUGUGUAGGCGGACUUCUAAGUACCUUGUGAAAUCCCCCGGCUCAACCGGGGAAUGGCCGUGGAUACUGCGACCCUCGAGGGGUGUAGGGGCAUGCGGAACUUCGGGUGGAGCGGUGAAAUGCGUAGAGAUCCGAAGGAACGCCGGUGGCGAAAGCGGCGUGCUGGACACCUUCUGACGCUGAGGCGCGAAAGCCAGGGGAGCAAACGGG
rnacentral:rRNA from 1 species